UACUAUUUAUCAGUAGCUAUGUGCCAGGUGUUUAUAUAUAUUAUCGUAGAUUCUCACAACUACCUUGGAAGGCAGUUGCUGGUAUCUUCUGAAACUGAGCCUCAGGAAUCGGGUAACCUGCCCAGCUGGAGUAGGAUGGAAUAUACAGGGGUUGGGCUACCUGGAAGCAUCUCCUCCUGGUUUCAGUCAAAUUCAGAAUUGUCUUGAUUUUGAAGCCCUGGGAGCCUAGCAAGCACCAGAACCAUGGAGAAGAGGCUGUCCAGCAGAAGCUGUACUAUAAAGAGAUAUAGUUACUGUGCUGAAGCAGAGAAUGGGAAAAAAAUGUCAACUUCCCUCUCCUCUGCCCUCCCCUAUACUGGCAAUGCUUCCCAUUAGCUAGACUCAACAAGAAGCUAGUCAGUUAGAGAGCCCAAAACAUGCAAUUUGCAGGGUCAGAGCAGGGAAAAGAAUGGAUUGAGGGAGUGCGGAUGGGGAGCAGAUAAGGAACCUAUUGUUUUAUUACCAAUAUAGUUCAUCAAUUAAAUAUUUGAGAUUUUAUAAAACAUAAAUAGGAAUGUUUAAUGUUGGAUAUCAUUAGGUAUAAUUGUCUUGAUUAAAUGCAAAGAACUAUUAAUAAUCCCCAUUCUCAUGUGUAUUUUUUUGAGGGGAACAAAACCAAGCAGCAAAUAAUUCUAAGGAUAAUCAAAACCAUCAUGUCAAUUCAGACAAGC